rnacentral:rRNA from 1 species
GCAUAUCAAUAAGCGGAGGAAAAGAAACCAACAGGGAUUGCCUUAGUAGCGGCGAGUGAAGCGGCAAAAGCUCAAAUUUGAAAUCUGGCGCCUUCGGUGUCCGAGUUGUAAUUUGAAGAUUGUAACCUUGGGGUUGGCUCUUGUCUAUGUUUCUUGGAACAGGACGUCACAGAGGGUGAGAAUCCCGUGCGAUGAGAUGCCCAAUUCUAUGUAAGGUGCUUUCGAAGAGUCGAGUUGUUUGGGAAUGCAGCUCUAAGUGGGUGGUAAAUUCCAUCUAAAGCUAAAUAUUGGCGAGAGACCGAUAGCGAACAAGUACAGUGAUGGAAAGAUGAAAAGAACUUUGAAAAGAGAGUGAAAAAGUACGUGAAAUUGUUGAAAGGGAAGGGUUUGAGAUCAGACUCGAUAUUUUGUGAGCCUUGCCUUCGUGGCGGGGUGACCCGCAGCUUAUCGGGCCAGCAUCGGUUUGGGCGGUAGGAUAAUGGCGUAGGAAUGUGACUUUACUUCGGUGAAGUGUUAUAGCCUGCGUUGAUGCUGCCUGCCUAGACCGAGGACUGCGAUUUUAUCAAGGAUGCUGGCAUAAUGAUCCCAAACCGCCCGUCUUGAAACCACGGA